UUAAUGGUUUUCAUAUUUUUCUUCAUUACACACUUCUGUUGUACAUUUCUAAUGAAGCUGCCCCAGAACGCCAGAACUGAGCCAUCAAGAGCUGACCUACACAAAUCUGGCUUGUCACACUCCUUCCGAGGAACAGGAAAAACAAAGAUGUAAGGACACAAAGAGCAAAGCUCCAGCUCCUCCCUGGCAAAUCAUUGCAGAAAUUCUGAGGAUUCUCUGCCUGGUAUCACUGGGAGAAGCAGUGCCCUUGGCUGUCAAUUGCAGAGAUGGGUGCAGAAAGGAGGGUCAGAGCACAUCAGGUGAGGCAUAUACAAAGAGCUCCCGUGAAAGCCCCUGAUAAAGGUUGCUGAUUUCACUAUUCAGCCUGAUCUGUUUAGAUCCCUUGACUCUUUUGUCCCUCCCAACCCCCUUCUGGGACCUGUUCCUGGUGAUCUGCACAGAAGUCCACUGGACUGGGUUGAGGAACAGCACCAGCUCUUGGUGGGCCUGGGAAGAGGGCUCAGGAGUCAGCGCUAUAAAUGUAAUCUCUACCAGCACUAUGUUGUCCUGUUCAGUGGUGCUCUCCAGACCUCCAGCUGUGAAGUUCUUGCCCCAUGGAUCUGUGAGAGAUCUGAAGGAAUCUCCUGCUGCGCUUUCCCAGAAAAUGUCCAUUGUUCAUGCUUGCGGGUUCCUGACUGCCUAGUAAGGACACUCCUAAAGCUGAGGUGUGGAAGGCAGUGUCAGGAAAGCACUUCUCCAUGGAAUAGUAUUGCAUAAUAAGGACAGCCAAAGGAACAGAUAUUUUCUCCCUGGGGAUUGAUAUAUAAAGGACCUGAUCAGACACAGCACAGAAAAGUGCAUUCCAGCUCUCCUGCCUCUUCCCAGAUAACUACAGAAACAUCUGCAACUACACUGCAUAUUAUCCAUCAUCAUCCACUAAAGCAGAGUCUACAGUUUCCAUAUUUACAGUCCUCCAGGAAUGAGUGAACAGGAAGUGACUUACUCAGAACUGAAAUAUCAUGCUCCUUCUGAGCAGGAGAGGGGUCCAAGACCUAGGAAUUCUGGGA